rnacentral:rRNA from 1 species
AUAUUUAAAGUUCAGACGGUAAAAGAUGAGUAUGCGCGAUAUUAGCUAGUUGGUGAGGUAACGGCUCACCAAGGCGACGAUAUCUAGGGGUACUGAGAGGUUACACCCCCACACUGGUACUGAGACACGGACCAGACUCCUACGGGAGGCAGCAGUAAGGAAUACUGGACAAUGGUCGCAAGACUGAUCCAGCCAUGCCGCGUGCAGGAUGACUGCCCUAUGGGUUGUAAACUGCUUUUAUACGGGAAUAAACCCGGGUACGUGUACCCGGCUGAAUGUACUGUAAGAAUAAGGGUCGGCUAACUUCGUGCCAGCAGCCGCGGUAAGACGAAGGACCCAAGCGUUAUCCGGAUUCAUUGGGUUUAAAGGGUGCGUAGGCGGGUUGAUAAGUCAGUGGUGAAAGCCCAACGCUUAACGUUGGAACUGCCAUUGAUACUGUCGAUCUUGAAUGUGUUUGAUGUGGGCGGAAUAUGACAUGUAGCGGUGAAAUGCUUAGAUAUGUCAUAGAACACCGAUUGCGAAGGCAGCUCACAAAGCCACUAUUGACGCUGAGGCACGAAAGCGUGGGGAUCAAACAGGAUUAGAUACCCUGGUAGUCCACGCCGUAAACUUUGAUCACUCGCUGUUGGCGAUACACUGUCAGCGGCUAAGCGAAAGCGUUAAGUGAUCCACCUGGGGAGUACGGUCGCAAGACUGAAACUCAAAGGAAUUGACGGGGGCCCGCACAAGCGGUGGAGCAUGUGGUUUAAUUCGAUGAUACGCGAGGAACCUUACCAGGGCUUGAAAGUUAGCGACUUACCGUGAAAGCGGUGAUCCCUUCGGGGCGCGAAACUAGGUGCUGCAUGGCUGUCGUCAGCUCGUGCCGUGAGGUGUUGGGUUAAGUCCCGCAACGAGCGCAACCCCUACUUCUAGUUGCCAACAGGUAAUGCUGGGGACUCUAGAGGAACUGCCCGCGCAAGCGGUGAGGAAGGUGGGGACGACGUCAAGUCAUCACGGCCCUUACGUCCUGGGCUACACACGUGCUACAAUGGCGGAGACAACGGGCAGCUACACUGCGAAGUGAUGCUAAUCUCUAAACUCCGUCUCAGUUCGGAUUGAAGUCUGCAACUCGACUUCAUGAAGCUGGAAUCGCUAGUAAUCGCGUAUCAGCAAUGACGCGGUGAAUACGUUCCCGGGCCUUGUACACACCGCCCGUCAAACAAUGGAAGCUGGGAGUACCUAAAGUCAGUAGUCGCAAGACGCUGCCUAGGGUAAAACCGGUAACUGGUGUUAAGUCGGAACAAGGUAGCCGUACCGGAAGGUGCGGCUG